GGUCCGUUCGUCUAGUUGGCCCAAGACACCUGGUUCUCAACCAGAAGAUCACCGGUUCGAAUCCGGUACGGACUAC
rnacentral:tRNA from 4 species